rnacentral:rRNA from 1 species
AUGAACGCUAGCUACAGGCUUAACACAUGCAAGUCGAGGGGCAGCAUGAACUUAGCUUGCUAAGUUUGAUGGCGACCGGCGCACGGGUGAGUAACACGUAUCCAACCUGCCGAUGACUCGGGGAUAGCCUUUCGAAAGAAAGAUUAAUACCCGAUGGCAUAGUUCUUCCGCAUGGUAGAACUAUUAAAGAAUUUCGGUCAUCGAUGGGGAUGCGUUCCAUUAGGUUGUUGGCGGGGUAACGGCCCACCAAGCCUUCGAUGGAUAGGGGUUCUGAGAGGAAGGUCCCCCACAUUGGAACUGAGACACGGUCCAAACUCCUACGGGAGGCAGCAGUGAGGAAUAUUGGUCAAUGGACGAGAGUCUGAACCAGCCAAGUAGCGUGAAGGAUGACUGCCCUAUGGGUUGUAAACUUCUUUUAUACGGGAAUAAAGUGAGGCACGUGUGCCUUUUUGUAUGUACCGUAUGAAUAAGGAUCGGCUAACUCCGUGCCAGCAGCCGCGGUAAUACGGAGGAUCCGAGCGUUAUCCGGAUUUAUUGGGUUUAAAGGGAGCGUAGGCGGACGCUUAAGUCAGUUGUGAAAGUUUGCGGCUCAACCGUAAAAUUGCAGUUGAUACUGGGUGUCUUGAGUACAGUAGAGGCAGGCGGAAUUCGUGGUGUAGCGGUGAAAUGCUUAGAUAUCACGAAGAACUCCGAUUGCGAAGGCAGCCUGCUGGACUGUAACUGACGCUGAUGCUCGAAAGUGUGGGUAUCAAACAGGAUUAGAUACCCUGGUAGUCCACACAGUAAACGAUGAAUACUCGCUGUUUGCGAUAUACAGUAAGCGGCCAAGCGAAAGCGUUAAGUAUUCCACCUGGGGAGUACGCCGGCAACGGUGAAACUCAAAGGAAUUGACGGGGGCCCGCACAAGCGGAGGAACAUGUGGUUUAAUUCGAUGAUACGCGAGGAACCUUACCCGGGCUUGAAUUGCAACUGAAUGAUGUGGAGACAUGUCAGCCGCAAGGCAGUUGUGAAGGUGCUGCAUGGUUGUCGUCAGCUCGUGCCGUGAGGUGUCGGCUUAAGUGCCAUAACGAGCGCAACCCUUAUCGAUAGUUACCAUCAGGUGAUGCUGGGGACUCUGUCGAGACUGCCGUCGUAAGAUGUGAGGAAGGUGGGGAUGACGUCAAAUCAGCACGGCCCUUACGUCCGGGGCUACACACGUGUUACAAUGGGGGGUACAGAAGGCAGCUACACGGCGACGUGAUGCUAAUCCCGAAAGCCUCUCUCAGUUCGGAUUGGAGUCUGCAACCCGACUCCAUGAAGCUGGAUUCGCUAGUAAUCGCGCAUCAGCCACGGCGCGGUGAAUACGUUCCCGGGCCUUGUACACACCGCCCGUCACACCAUGAGAGUCGGUAACACCCGAAGCCGGUGGCCUAACCGCAAGGAAGGAGCUGUCUAAGGUGGGACUGAUGAUUGGGGUG